AGCUCCAAUAGCGUAUCUUAAAGUUGCUGCAGUUAAAAAGCUCGUAGUUGGAUCUCGGGGCCGGGCUGACGGUCCGCCGAAAGGCGUGCCACCGACUGUCCCGGCCCCUGCCCUCGGCGCCCCCUCGAUGCUCUUGGUUGAGUGUCUUGCGGGGUUCGAAGCGUUUACUUUGAAAAAAUUAGAGUGUUCAAAGCAGGCCCAGUUGCACGAAUACUGCAGCUAGGAAUAAUGGAAUAGGACUCCGGUUCUAUUUUGUGGGUUUUCUCAAUGGACUGGGGCCAUGAUUAAGAGGGACGGCCGGGGGCAUUCGUAUUGCGCCGCUAGAGGUGAAAUUCUUGGACCGGCGCAAGACGGACGAAAGCGAAAGCAUUUGCCAAGAAUGUUUUCAUUA
rnacentral:rRNA from 1 species